GACGUAGGAGGCGAGCGUUGUCCGGAUUCAUUGGGCGUAAAGAGCGCGCAGGCGGCUUGGUAAGUCGGAUGUGAAAUCCCGAGGCUCAACCUCGGGUCUGCAGUCGAUACGGGCGGACUGGAGUUCGGCAGGGGAGGACUGGAAUUCCUGGUGUAGCGGUGAAAUGCGCAGAUAUCGAGGAGGAACACCGGUGGCGAAGGCGGGUCUGCUGGGCCGUAACU
rnacentral:rRNA from 1 species